GUGCAACACUCAGCCUACGGUGUACUUUUCGCCAAUGAAAAGGACAAAGAAGUCAACUUGCCUGCGUUCGUCGGGUCGCAGCGCUCUCACCAGUGUCACAGAUAUCUCAGGCCGGCUCAGGAAUGUCUCAAGACGAGAACUCCGAUCCGAGCAGCGAAUCCGUAGAUGAGACAACAUCUACCAUGUCUGAGGCGUCUGUGUUGGAAGGCACGGAUAAAAAUAAAAUUGUUUUUAUUCUUUUGUAGAGAUUGCGUGGACGACACGGAGCAAGCUGGCUGUCAUAGGAGUCGUGUCUGUCCUUGGCAUAAUCGGCUUUCUCUUGGUGAUGGGCGCUCUCGUGACGGCAAAUGGGCCUGCGGAGACAGAGGCUCCGCCGGAGCUGGCCAGCGCCUGGCGUUCGGCGGAAAACAAGAGCGAGGCGUCGUCUGGAGCGGGGACGGCGACUAUUACUACUAGACGGCGCCCGACUCACGCGGCCAAGAAAGAGAAAAGAACGAAGAAAAAGCCAACUCCGCAGGCCAGUAAUAAACGGAAGCGUACUACGGCAAGCACUACCGAUGUUCCCACUACCACGAUGACGACUACCACCAACACCUCGGUCACCGCUGUCAUUACGAGAACCGAAACAAAAUUCGAAAGCACCGAGACGCCGUCCGACGAAGAAAUGUUGCCGCCUGUCACAAAAGCCAGCCGCACGACAACGACGACUGCGUGGGUGCGGCAUGUGGUACCCCAGAACAACGACGACAAAGGAACUGGGACGCUGGGGCCUCGCUCCAGCACAGACAACCCGUCUACACCGUCCGGGGCUUCAGCGGUAUCAUCCAAGCGCACUAUUAAGGCCUGGUCCAUAGAACACAGAACGCUAGAUGAAACGACCGAACACAACGGGGCAUCGCAGACACAGUCGUCGGUGCCUUUGCUUACGCCAUCGUCUUCGCCCUCACCCACGCCAACGUCUACGCCCCCGCCAGCGCCCACAUCAAUGCCCACACCGUUGACCGAGCCAGUGCUCAAGUCAUCGCUAAAGUUAUCGCUGACUUCAUUGCCGACAACUUCCAAGCACAACUCGACCACAACCACGGAGGACAGCCUGACUCUUAACGACUUCCGGGACUAAUUGUGUGCUACUUUAAGCUAUAUUUGUUUCGAUGUGAUGUUUUUGGCUCAGAAGUAAUUAUUAAAGAAUGGGCUUUUGCUGAA